rnacentral:rRNA from 1 species
GAAUUGACGGGGGCCCGCACAAGCGGUGGAGCAUGUGGUUCAAUUCGACGCAACGCGAAGAACCUUACCUGGGCUCGAACGGCUUCCUAACGGUCUGUGAAAGCAGGCUAUCCCGCAAGGGAGUGGAGUCGAGGUGCUGCAUGGCUGUCGUCAGCUCGUGUCGUGAGAUGUUGGGUUAAGUCCCGCAACGAGCGCAACCCUUGUCCUGUGUUGCAAACCGAAGGUGCACUCGCAGGAGACCGCCAGCGAUAAGUUGGAGGAAGGUGGGGAUGACGUCAAGUCAUCAUGGCCUUUAUGUCCAGGGCUACACACGUGCUACAAUGGACGGUACAAAGCGCCGCAAACCCGCGAGGGGGAGCAAAUCGCAAAAACCGUUCUCAGUUCGGAUUGCAGGCUGCAACUCGCCUGCAUGAAGCUGGAAUCGCUAGUAAUGGCAUAUCAGAAUGAUGCCGUGAAUACGUUCCCGGGCCUUGUACACACCGCCCGUCACAUCACGAAAGUGGGUUGUACUAGAAGUCUGCAGGCUAACCCGCAAGGGAGGCAGCGGCCCAAGGUAUGACUUCAUGAUUGGGGUGAAGUCGUAACAAGGUAGCCGUAGGAGAACCUGCGGCUGGAUCACCUCCUUUAUG